UUGGCCAGCCAUAAGAACCUUAAGGAAAAGGGCAGAGGGAGAUUCUCCCUCUUCCCCCGACAGUUUUGGCGUAGUCCCCAGGAGCCACACUGGCUGGCAAGUUGCCUUCUCUGGCUGGAAGACCUGCCUUCUCCCUGGACUACUGCAGAUGGUGAGAUACGGGAACUCCUGACGAAAGCCGGCAAAAGAAAAAAUUCAUGGAAAGGACUCUGACAUUUACACUAAAAUACAGGUUUCUGACAAACUUUCUGAUCAUAAAACUGAACUGGGUAAAAAAUUACAGAAAUCUGAUAGAGAAACUGAUAACUUCAUGAAGCUGCUAACAAAAAGAUUGGGAUCAAGAAUAGAUUACACAAGACUGAAUAAACUGAUAAAGAUGAUUAUAAUUUUUAUGAUUUUUGAUUUAAAGUAUUGCUGAAUUUUUAAUGUUUUGUUUUUUCAGAUUUAAAGAAAACUUUUUUCUCUUUUCUCCUGAGCUAGCUAUGACAUAACAAUUUGGUAAAUGAUACUUUUGUAAGUAAAAUUAAAAUAUUUAUCUUUUUCUCUCUAUCUGAUCCCUCAAAUUUAGAAACUCUUAGUGAGUAUUGUUGUUUUCAUGGCAACAUAGUUAUUUAUAUAAGUUCAAUAAAAAUCUGUUCUCCUUAUAACAAGACACAAUUAAAAACACUGGUUAUAUUACCAAGGUUGUGACUAGAACAUCAUAUUUGCGAUAUAACCAUACAGAUUUUGAAGAAUGAAGAUUAGAAUUUAUAAAAUAAAGCCACGUGGAAAUAUUGGCCUGGUACCUUAUGUUCCAAGCAACACUUACCAGGAUAAGUAAAAAAUGUCACUUAUCUGGCAGGUACAAAGAACCUUGAAAUAUUUUGGGGGAACCUCGAAAGAGAGGAAUUCACCCAAAUCUGUAGGUAUUACAGGCGAAGUCUGAUGACAAAAUCCUUGGCUUGGCUUUCCUGGCCUUGAGAGGCCUUUAAAGUUCAAUGUGAGAUUCGUUAUAAAAAGUUCCAGCAAAGCAGAUUUAAAAGAGCCCAUGUGAUCAAUUGCUAUUCUUGCUGUACUUAUGUAAAUAAUUGGGCCAACUCUAUUAGAACUAGACUUAUUUUGCAAACUAGUUAGUUUUAAUUUGGCUAUCUUAAUAAAAAUGAGGGUGAUU